UGUGCUGCCAGUUCAUUUGGGAUUAUUCAUGGCUGCAGAGAUUCAUUCUGAAGCUCUGUAAGUAAUGGGAAGUCUUUUUGUGUCUUGAUCUUUGAGUCUUGUCUUGAUUUAUGUUGACUUCUGGGAACUGGGCAAAGACACUGGACUGGAAUUCCAGGGAAAGGGAAUUGUUUGCUUACUUUUGUCUGACAUUUUGCAGUCUGUGUGCAUAUGAAGGAUCUAGAAUCUGUCAUUGAUUUCUCCUCCAGCAUGAGACUGGCAAAACUGCAGCUUGCUGCUUGGCAAAAUGCUGAUCGUGAUGUCAGAGCACACACCCACCCCAUUUCUAUGUGCAUUGAAACAUGGAAGUGGUAGCUGCAUUAAAUGAAGUGGCUUUUAAGGGGGAAAAGCAAUAAUUAAUCUAAAUAAAUGAUACAGGACUCCUCUAAAAGGAUCAUAAAAAUAUAAGAGGGGUAGGAGCGUGGGCUGUUUCAGUGGUGUGAUUUAAGAGUGAGAAUCCACGGGAGAUGAAAUAUUUAGAGGGAGCUGGAAACUUGGAGUGGAAAUGAAUAUUAUCAGUUCAGCUGCAGGGUGGCAGAUGCACAGCAACAGAGGAGGAGAAGGGGAGCAGUGGAAGAAAGUUCUGGGUGGUGUGAGAGGAGUCAUUCCAAUGUGCAGGGAGAAGCAGCGGCAGGGAUCGCAGGGAUGUUGCGGGCUGGCUCGGUGCCGGGGGACAGCUCAGAGGAGCCACUGGCUGUCACUCAGGAUCUUGUCCCGAUUGAAGGGCUGGAGAUGAGCCCUUUGGUUCCCCCAAAGCAGAAGCGCUCCCCUGUCUCUCCCAUCACCUGUUCUGCAGGUACAGCCCCCACCAGCAGCGUUCUCACCUGGGGAUAAAGCUCCGCAUGGAAACAGCUCCAGCCCCGCUGCAGCCGGGGCAGCACGAGAGGCAGGCACGGCAGGAUGGAGCUCCAUCCCCCUGGGGGACAGCAGCACCCGGAGUGUGUCUGUCCCCUCUCCUGAGUGGACAGCUGCACACCCGGACAGCACAGCGCCUUUUAAAGGGGCUCUUACCCAGUUUGGGCACAAGGCACGGCUCCUCCUCAGAGCUCUGUACCCCUGCACCCUCUCUUCACCCCUCUUCUCAACAAGAUAGCCAAUCCCAAUCAUGAAAAAAAAAAAAAAGUUCUAUUUAAUAGGUCUUGGCAUUCUUGUAUUUUCUUUGUGGCUUCUGAGAUUUUGCACUCACUUGGAGGUAAGUUUGAAAGUUGGUUCCUUCCAACCCAAAUAAUUUUAUGAUUGUAUUUCUGUGAUUUGUCUAUCCAAAUCAGUAAUCCAAUUCUUCCUUCUCUGCCUU